rnacentral:rRNA from 1 species
AUUGAACGCUAGCGGCAUGCCUUACACAUGCAAGUCGAACGGCAGCACGGGGGCAACUCUGGUGGCGAGUGGCGAACGGGUGAGUAAUGCAUCGGAACGUGCCCAUCGAUGGGGGAUAACUGCGCGAAAGCGUUGCUAAUACCGCAUACGACCUACGGGUGAAAGCAGGGGACCGCAAGGCCUUGCGUCGAUGGAGCGGCCGAUGUCGGAUUAGCUAGUUGGUGAGGUAAGAGCUCACCAAGGCGACGAUCCGUAGCUGGUCUGAGAGGACGACCAGCCACACUGGGACUGAGACACGGUCCAGACUCCUACGGGAGGCAGCAGUCGGGAAUCUUCCACAAUGGGCGAAAGCCUGAUGGAGCGACGCCGCGUGAGGGAAGAAGGUCUUCGGAUCGUAAACCUCUGUCCUCAGGGACGAUGAUGACGGUACCUGAGGAGGAAGCCACGGCUAACUACGUG